GCGACCCCAGGAUGGGCGAGGGCACCCGCCGAGUUUAAGCAUAUCAAUAAGCGGAGGAAAAG
rnacentral:rRNA from 1 species